UUUAACAUUUCCUAUGCUCAGGACACCACCCAGUGUCCCAGUUGACUUCCUGUUGACUACAAGAUAUAGGACUCUCAACCCCAGUACCACAUCUUGCCUACAUGCUGAAAUGCUCCCCUGCCAUGAUGAUAAUGAACUGAACCUCUGAAACUAGAAAAACUGUGAGAAUGGCAAUGCUGAAUCCCGGGAGUCCUUGGGGGCCUGGCAGAGUGACAGAAACUACAGACAAGUCACUAUGUGUGGAAUCUCCCCAAGCAAGACACGAUAAUCCACAAGGGCACGGAUUCUCAAGUGGGAAGUCACCAUCGAGGCGUGUUGAUGGCCAGAGUCAGCAUAAGCUACAGACCUCAUGUGGCGAAGCCUGCCUUCCACCAAGAGGGCUGACAAGAUUGGCAAUGGAUGCUCCGUUUACUCCGAGUGCUGAGGGGUCCUCACCCACCAGUGUGCAGUCAAUGUAGACAUUCCAAGGCUGAUGGAAAGCAGUGAGCAUUCCGCCCUGGACUCUCAUAUGUAUGGCUUCUCCUGUGCUCCUAUUCACCUUAAAUCUCCACGGUUCCGUGUAGCUCCCUCCUGAGUCCAGCCAGUAUUGUCAGUUUCUGUAUUCUUCCAGUGUUGGGAACUCAAGACACAUGCUCACAGUGCGUGGUGACAUCUGUACAAAUGGCAGCUUCUCACUUUCCUGCUCAGGUCACGCGCUGACACAGGACCUUCUGCUGUCACAGACAAUGUGUGCAAUGCCUUUGCAGGCACAUGUCUAACACCCCUGCUGCUCUGAUACAUUGUCAGACGUAACAUUAUUUAUACUCAUCCCCUAUCUUCCAUAAUUUCCAAAGUUCAAAGAAAACAAAGGUUCUGGGGUUUUCCCUAGAUUUUGCUUUAUUUUUAUUUAUGUGCAUGUGUAUGUGUGAGCAAGUACAUGCAGAAGCCAGAAGAAGGUGGGUACAUGGCAGUUUUGAACCACCCAACAUGGGUGCUGGGAACCGAACUGAGGUCCUUUGCAAGAGCAACAAGUGCUCUGAGCUCCUGAGCCAUCUCUCCAGCCCCAGAAGUCCCCACAGAGACGGUUGCUCCUUUACAUAUGCUCCUGAGGCUGCUUCAGCGACCACCUAGGAAACAGAAUACACAACUGCUCUGUGCAAGGCCAGGAGACCCUACAGGAAUCACACCUCUUACCUUGCUGACAUUAAGAGAGAGGAAAGCACUCUUCGCCAUAAGCAUUCGCAGGAACCACUUUAACUACGCAGACACACAAGGGAAACGCAUGAGCCCGAGUGGCUCCACACCUGUGUGGUACCCAGGAUUGCCACUUGGCCUGCACUGGGGGGAAGGGUUUGAACAGUUUCUUCUGCUGAGAGGCUCUCUCGAUGAUGGCACCCAUUAAUGGGAAUAUGCCAGGACUUGGGAAGCUGAAGCAGGAGGUUCUCAGGUGCAGGACGCCUGAACUACGUAACAAAACCAAACUGUGUUAUGGGAUAUUUGUGCACCGUGUGAAAAUGUAUUGCCGUGGUUGGUGUAGUAAAAAGCUAAAAAGCCAAUAGGCAAGAGGAAUAGGCGGGACUCCCAGGCAGUGUUGCGGGCUGCAGACCUCUGGCCCCUUGACUUUCUUUGCCUGCCUCAGACCCUUGGCCAGCUGGAGUGAACGGGGCAAAACAACUUGUUUACCUAUGCCAGCGGCCGCUCUGAGCACAAGGCCCUCAUGAGUUCCUGAUGGCAGGGAAGUGGUUUCUGGUGAGCUGGAGCGUGGCUAUCAGUUAGGGGUCCUUAUAUAAGCUUCCCUGGAGCACAAUAAAGUUGGCAUUCUUGUAUCAAGGA